AACGAACGCUGGCGGCAUGCCUAACACAUGCAAGUCGAACGAGACCUUCGGGUCUAGUGGCGCACGGGUGCGUAACGCGUGGGAACCUGCCCUUAGGGUCGGAAUAACUCCCCGACAGGGGUGCUAAUACCGGAUAAUGUCUUCGGACCAAAGUUUUAUCGCCUUUGGAUGGGCCCGCGUUGGAUUAGCUAGUUGGUAGGGUAAAAGCCUACCAAGGCGACGAUCCAUAGCUGGUCUGAGAGGAUGAUCAGCCACACUGGGACUGAGACACGGCCCAGACUCCUACGGGAAGCAGCAGUGGGGAAUAUUGGACAAUGGGCGAAAGCCUGAUCCAGCAAUGCCGCGUGAGUGAUGAAGGCCUUAGGGUUGUAAAGCUCUUUUACCCGGGAUGAUAAUGACAGUACCGGGAGAAUAAGCUCCGGCUAACUCCGUG
rnacentral:rRNA from 1 species